rnacentral:rRNA from 1 species
CCUACGGGUGGCAGCAGUGGGGAAUAUUGCACAAUGGACGAAACCCUGAUCCAGCGACGCCGCGUGAGGGAAGACGUCUUUCGGUAUGUAAAGCUCUAUCAGCAGGGGAGUAGAAGGACGGUACCUGACUAAGAAGCCCCGGCUAACUACGUGCCAGCAGCCGCGGUAAUACGUAGGGGGCAAGCGUUAUCCGGAUUUACUGGGUGUAAAGGGAGCGUAGACGGCUGUGCAAGUCUGAAGUGAAAGCCCAGGGCUCAACCCUGGGACUGCAUUGGAAACUGUGGAGCUAGAGUGCUGGAGAGGUAAGUGGAAUUCAUGGUGUAGCGGUGAAAUGCGUAGAUAUUAGGAGGAACACCAGUGGCGAAGGCGGCUUACUGGACAGUAACUGACGUUGAGGCUCGAAAGCGUGGGGAGCAAACAGGAUUAGAUACCCGGGUAGUC